rnacentral:misc_RNA from 1 species
GAAAUGCGAUAAGUAAUGUGAAUUGCAGAAUUCAGUGAAUCAUCGAAUCUUUGAACGCACCUUGCGCUCCUUGGUAUUCCUUGGAGCAUGCCUGAUUGAGUAUCAUGAAAUCUUCAAAGUAAAUCUUUUGUUAACUCAAUUGGUUUCUACUUUGGUAUUGGAGGUCUUUGCAGCUUCACACCUGCUCCUCUUUGUUCAUUAGCUGGAUCUCAGUGUUAUGCUUGGUUCCACUCGGCGUGAUAAGUUAUCUAUCGCUGAGGACACUGUAAAAGGUGGCCAAGGUAAAUGCAGAUGAACCGCUUCUAAUAGUCCAUUGACUUGGACAAUACUUUUAUGAUCUGAUCUCAAAUCAGGUAGGACUACCCGCUGAACUUAAG